rnacentral:pre_miRNA from 1 species
UGAAGAAGUACUGGGUCAAAUGGUAUUCCUAGUUUUUUGAGGAAUAUUCACACUGCUUUCCAGAAUGGUUGCACCAAUUCGGAGACCCACCAGCAAU